rnacentral:rRNA from 1 species
AACGUAGGAGACGAACGUUAUCCGGAGUUACUGGGCGUAAAGGGCGUGCAGGCGGUUGGAUAAGUCUGGCGUGAAAUUUUCCGGCUUAACCGGGGGAUGUCGUCGGAGACUGUCUGACUAGAGGGUGAUAGAGGCGUGUGGAAUUCCGGGUGUAGUGGUGAAAUGCGUAGAGAUCCGGAGGAACACCAGUGGCGAAGGCGACACGCUGGGUCACACCUGACGCUAAGACGCGACAGCAUGGGGAGCAAACGGG